rnacentral:rRNA from 1 species
AACGAACGCUGGCGGCAGGCUUAACACAUGCAAGUCGAACGGUCUCUUCGGAGGCAGUGGCAGACGGGUGAGUAACGCGUGGGAAUCUACCCAGAUCUACGGAACAACAGUUGGAAACGACUGCUAAUACCGUAUACGCCCUACGGGGGAAAGAUUUAUCGGAUUUGGAUGAGCCCGCGUAAGAUUAGCUAGUUGGUGAGGUAAUGGCUCACCAAGGCGACGAUCUUUAGCUGGUCUGAGAGGAUGAUCAGCCACACUGGGACUGAGACACGGCCCAGACUCCUACGGGAGGCAGCAGUGGGGAAUAUUGGACAAUGGGCGCAAGCCUGAUCCAGCAAUGCCGCGUGAGUGAUGAAGGCCUUAGGGUUGUAAAGCUCUUUCGGCGGGGAAGAUGAUGACGGUACCCGCAGAAGAAGCCCCGGCUAACUUCGUGCCAGCCGCCGCAGAAAAAC